rnacentral:rRNA from 1 species
UUGGAGGGCAGUCUGGUGCCAGCAGCCGCGGUAAUUCCAGCUCCAAUAGCGUAUAUUAAAGUUGUUGCAGUUAAAAAGCUCGUAGUUGAAUUUCGGGAUCAGAUUGUCGGUCGUGCCUCGGUACGCACUGGCAUUAUUGGUUCCUACCUUCUGAAGAACCGCGAUGUCAUUAAUUUGGUGUCGUGGGGAAUCAGGACUGUUACUUUGAAAAAAUUAGAGUGUUUAAAGCAGGCGCACGCUUGAAUACAUUAGCAUGGAAUAAUGAAAUAGGACGUUUGAUUCUAUUUUGUUGGUUUCUAGGAUCGACGUAAUGAUUAAUAGGGAUAGUUGGGGGCAUUAGUAUUCAAUUGUCAGAGGUGAAAUUCUUGGAUUUAUUGAAGACUAACUACUGCGAAAGCAUUUGCCAAGGAUGUUUUCAUUAAUCAAGAACGAAAGUUAGGGGAUCGAAGACGAUCAGAUACCGUCGUAGUCUUAACCAUAAACUAUGCCGACUAGGGAUCGGAUGAUGUUAAUUUUUUAAUGGCUCAUUCGGCGCCUUACGGGAAAC